AUGUGAACAUUGCAGCUUAACGAAACCUUCAACGAGAAAACCAUGGACGCGCAAGUUCCUCUGCCCCUGAUGCUUCUACGGCUCGUCUUCCUCCUCUGCUUCUUCUCCACUCUGCCACGCUACUGCCGCCGUCUCUUCUCCGUCGAGGCUGCUGCUCCGACGCUGGUCUCCAGCCUCCCGGGCUUCGACGGCGCCCUCCCUUUCCGCCUAGAGACCGGGUAUGUCGCCGUGGACGAGGAGAACGGCUCGGAGCUGUUCUACUACUUCAUCGAGUCGGAGGGCAACCCGCGGCGCGACCCGGUGAUCCUUUGGCUCACCGGCGGCGACCGCUGCACCGUGCUCAGCGGUUUGUUUUUCGAGAUAGGCCCGUUGAAAUUCGUCGUCGAGCCCUUCAAUGGAGGCAUACCACGGCUGCGGUACCAUCCCUACUCCUGGACAAAGGCGGCGAGUGUCCUGUUCGUCGAUUCGCCGGUCGGUGCCGGGUUCUCCUUCUCCAAGAAACCAGAAGGCUAUGAUGUUGGAGAUGUGUCUGCUUCUCUGCAGCUCAGAAAGUUCAUCACCAAGUGGUUCUCUGAGCAUCAAGAUUUCCUCGUGAAUCCUUUCUACGUCGGUGGAGACUCCUACGGUGGAAAGAUCGCUCCAUUCCUCAUGCAGAAGAUCUCAGAAGAUAUUGAAGCUGAACUGAGGCCGACUAUUAAUCUUAAGAAAUGGUCAGGGCUACCUUGUGGGUAACCCGGGUACAGGUGAACGCAUUGAUACUGAAUCUAGAGUGCCUUUUCUUCAUGGAAUGGGAAUAAUUUCAGAUCAACUGUACGAGGAUGCUAUGUUGACUAGAGAUUGCAUGCACAGGAAAAAUUGGUUUGCAUAAAGGGAAUGAUGCUGAAGCACUGAAGGAAGGAGCCGAGAAACUCAUUCACAAUGCACAGGAGCUCAUGCGUGCUCUGCAAGAAGGAAGCCAGGCGCCUGGUGUCAAUGCUCCAAGUCUUCCAGCUAUCUGAUGCUGCGUUGUGCUCUUUGAUGUUCUGGUGGCCUUAAUUGUUUCGUUUUGGCUCUACUUCGUUUGCCCGUCUACUAAUGGGAUCUGUAAUUUUGAGAACUCUUAAAUUCUUGUGUUAGGUCAGUAGUUAGGCACAGGUUUUUGUCCUGUAGUCAGCGUUUUGAUUGCGAGCGCUGUCAGCGGGUUUCCUGCCCACGUAUUAGGCUCCUUUGUUUUCCUCCCCUGUUUCACUUUCCUGAUGUCAUGGACAAUGUAUUUCCGUUAUGCAAGUAAUGGAAAGAGGCGAGGAGCCCGGGUGUUAGCUGCUACGGGCGACCGCAUUCGUUUUCAGCA